rnacentral:rRNA from 1 species
ACUCCUACGGGAGGCAGCAGUGGGGAAUUUUGGACAAUGGGCGAAAGCCUGAUCCAGCAAUGCCGCGUGAGUGAAGAAGGCCUUCGGGUUGUAAAGCUCUUUUGUCAGGGAAGAAACGGUGAAAGCUAAUAUCUUUUGCUAAUGACGGUACCUGAAGAAUAAGCACCGGCUAACUACGUGCCAGCAGCCGCGGUAAUACGUAGGGUGCAAGCGUUAAUCGGAAUUACUGGGCGUAAAGCGUGCGCAGGCGGUUUUGUAAGUCUGAUGUGAAAUCCCCGGGCUCAACCUGGGAAUUGCAUUGGAGACUGCAAGGCUAGAAUCUGGCAGAGGGGGGUAGAAUUCCACGUGUAGCAGUGAAAUGCGUAGAUAUGUGGAGGAACACCGAUGGCGAAGGCAGCCCCCUGGGUCAAGAUUGACGCUCAUGCACGAAAGCGUGGGGAGCAAACAGGAUUAGAAACCCUUGUAGUCCCAUG